rnacentral:rRNA from 1 species
GACGAACGCUGGCGGCGUGCUUAACACAUGCAAGUCGAACGGUGAAGCCCUUCGGGGUAGAUCAGUGGCGAACGGGUGAGUAACACGUGAGCAACCUGCCCCUGACUCUGGGAUAACUUCGGGAAACCGGAGCUAAUACUGGAUAUGACGCUCUCACGCAUGUGGGGGUGUGGAAAGUUUUUCGGUUGGGGAUGGGCUCGCGGCCUAUCAGCUUGUUGUUGGGGUGAUGGCCUACCAAGGCGACGACGGGUAGCCGGCCUGAGAGGGCGACCGGCCACACUGGGACUGAGACACGGCCCAGACUCCUACGGGAGGCAGCAGUGGGGAAUAUUGCGCAAUGGGCGAAAGCCUGACGCAGCGACGCCGCGUGAGGGAUGAAGGCCUUCGGGUUGUAAACCUCUUUCAGCGCCGAAGAAGCGAAAGUGACGGUAGGCGCAGAAGAAGCACCGGCUAACUACGUGCCAGCAGCCGCCGUAAGAC